rnacentral:rRNA from 1 species
UACGGGGGGAGCAAGCGUUGUUCGGAUUUACUGGGCGUAAAGGGCGCGUAGGCGGCCAGCACAAGUCAGUUGUGAAAUCUCCGAGCUUAACUCGGAAAGGUCAACUGAUACUGUGCGGCUAGAGUGCAGAAGGGGCAAUCGGAAUUCUUGGUGUAGCGGUGAAAUGCGUAGAUAUCAAGAGGAACACCUGAGGUGAAGACGGGUUGCUGGGCUGACACUGACGCUGAGGCGCGAAAGCCAGGGGAGCAAACGGG